rnacentral:rRNA from 1 species
GAUGAACGCUGGCGACGUGCCUAAUACAUGCAAGUCGAGCGAACAGACGAGGAGCUUGCUCCUCUGACGUUAGCGGCGGACGGGUGAGUAACACGUGGAUAACCUACCUAUAAGACUGGGAUAACUUCGGGAAACCGGAGCUAAUACCGGAUAAUAUAUUGAACCGCAUGGUUCAAUAGUGAAAGACGGUUUUGCUGUCACUUAUAGAUGGAUCCGCGCCGCAUUAGCUAGUUGGUAAGGUAACGGCUUACCAAGGCAACGAUGCGUAGCCGACCUGAGAGGGUGAUCGGCCACACUGGAAUUGAGACACGGUCCAGACUCCUACGGGAGGCAGCAGUAGGGAAUCUUCCGCAAUGGGCGAAAGCCUGACGGAGCAACGCCGCGUGAGUGAUGAAGGUCUUCGGAUCGUAAAACUCUGUUAUUAGGGAAGAACAAAUGUGUAAGUAACUAUGCACGUCUUGACGGUACCUAAUCAGAAAGCCACGGCUAACUACGUG